GCCCUGACUCUCAUAGGCCGUGCUCUGAGGGUUCCUGAAGGAGGUAGAACAGGGCUGCUUUUUUGCAGUCUGGUUCAAGCUGAGCUGAGGGAGACCUGGAGCGGGAGGAUUAACCUCCCAAAUUUCAAGCUCCUCCUACCAAAACUACCAAAGUGAACCAGGAUGCCAGAUCACCACAUGGUGGCGCUGUGGGCCAUUUUAAAAUGCCACUGUGGCCUGGAAAGGAAAAUUGAAGGAAAGGGAUUGUGGACCACUCAAGAACUCCAGAGAUGACGGCUUGAUGGAUUCGAGAGAAAGCUUGCUCACUUAGAAACUGAGAGCAGGAUCUUCAAGGGCUGAUGAAGAACAGCAGCAGAGGAAGCUGCACCUAAGCUGUUAAGAAGAGGCUCAGGGGAGAGGAGCUAUAAGAAGACUCUGAGACCAGACCGCUACCUGGAAGAAAGAGAAGCCAGCCGAGCUGUCGCUAAGAGUUUAGAGCAGAGUCACUUGGAAAAGACAUUCUCCAGCCUGUUGAGCUGCCUGCCGAUGUGCAGAGCGCUCCAGGUUUCCCAGCUUUUGUGAGCUGUCACCUGUGCUGAUGCAGCUGUCUUUGCGCCUGUGAGUGACCUGUGAACUGUCACCCAUGCUUCGGUGAUGCAGCUGUCUUUGCUCCUGUGAGUGACCUGUGAACUGUCACCCAUGCUUCGGUGAUGCAGCUGUCUUUGCGCCUGUGAGUGACCUGUGAACUGUCACCCAUGCUUCGGUGAUGCAGCUGUCUUUGCGCCUGUGGGUGACCCGUGAGCUGUCACCCAUGCUUUGGUAUUGUAGUUGUCUUUGCGCCUGUGGGUGACCCGUGAGCUGUCACCUGUGCUGAUGCAGCUGUCUUUGCGCCUGUGGGUGACCCCAAUAAAACUCAUUGGU